UACGUAGGGUGCAGGCGUUAAUCGGAAUUACUGGGCGUAAAGCGUGCGCAGGCGGCUAUGCAAGACAGAUGUGAAAUCCCCGGGCUCAACCUGGGAACUGCAUUUGUGACUGCAUGGCUAGAGUGCGGCAGAGGGGGAUGGAAUUCCGCGUGUAGCAGUGAAAUGCGUAGAUAUGCGGAGGAACACCGAUGGCGAAGGCAAUCCCCUGGGCCUGCACUGACGCUCAUGCACGAAAGCGUGGGGAGCAAACAGG
rnacentral:rRNA from 1 species